rnacentral:snRNA from 14 species
AUGCUUACCUGGCAGGGGACAGUAUAAACACAAAGGCAAUGUCCUCAGGGUUAAGCCUUGUCCACUGUACUCCAGAUAUGUUGCCCUUAAGAACACCCCAGAUAUGGGAAACGAGACUGCAGGAUUUUUUUUUUUU